rnacentral:rRNA from 1 species
UACAGAGGGUGCUAGCGUUGUUCGGAAUCAUUGGGCGUAAAGGGCGUGUAGGCGGUUUGUUAAGUCAUGUGUGAAAUCCCUCGGCUCAACCGGGGAACGACGCAUGAAACUGGCAAGCUAGAGUACCAAAGAGGGGGGUGGAAUUCCCGGUGUAGCGGUGAAAUGCGUAGAGAUGGGGGAGAACACUCGUGGCGAAGGCGGCCAGCUAGACCAGUUCUGACACUGAGGCGCGACAGCGUGGGGAGCAAACAGG